rnacentral:lncRNA from 1 species
AACUGCGCGUCCUUACCCGCCUUGGCUGGAGCUGCGAUUCUGUGGAGUGGAAUGUUUUAUUCGGUUCAACGCUGAGGCAGGCGUGGGGCCGACUUGGGCUGUGGAGGUGGUCAAGCUCUGUGUACAGAAGUUGAAAUACGUUCCAGGAGUUACAGCUUCCUAAACAGCUCAUUGCUGGGGCGCAGCACAUACAAGGAAAAGUAUGUGUAUAUCUACAGGUGAGCACAGGGGUCAAGAAUCCUCAUCAUGACAAUUCUAGGUAGGGGUCUGAAGACCCAGCUAUUCUAUUCUAUUCAAGAAGAUAAAUCAGGUAGAUGAAUUGCUGGAGCCCAUGAGUUCAAGACCAGUUGGGUUAUAAUGAAAAUGGAUCUCAAAAAAAACAAAACAACAACAACAAAAAAAAACCAACCUCAUAAAAGUUCUCUGGAGAGAUGGCUCAGUAGUUAAGAGAACUUGUUGUUCUUCCAGAGGACUAAGGUUUUAUUCCCAGAACCCACACAAGAGCACACAACCAUCACUAAUUCCAGUUCCAGGAGAUCUGGCAUCCUCUUCUGGCCUCUAUAGACCCAUGACGCUCAGAAAUACAUGUAGGCAAAACACUCAU